ACUCACAUUUGAAAUAAGAGCCCCUACGUGUCACUUAUUUUGAUGGAGAUUGGGUGGAUAUGGAUGCGAAGCGUCGGAUUGAAUCGGCGGAGGCCAAUCAAUGGAGAUACAACUCCAAAACCUUGAAGCUCCAAAUCCCCAAAUUUAAUUAGGGUUACUCUGCGAUCCCAAAUCGGAAUCGGAAUUACAUGAGCUAUUCACCAUCGCCGAUUGAUUUCUUCUCACUAGACCCCGAUGGUGGUGGCGGCGGCGUCGUUGUCGAAGAAGAAGAGUACGCCGUCGCUAAACCGUCAUUUACUACCCCGCGUCUCGAACCCUUACUCGAGAGUGAAGAAACGAAGACCAUGGCUAACUCCAGGAGACUCUACCCUUUUUUAUUCUCGCCGGAAUUGGGAUUCCCAUCUCCUUGUUUUCGCCUCCUCUUCUCCGUCGUCUUCGCCUCCAUCUCCAAAUUCUCCGACAGAUGAUCUCACUGCUGAGUCGUGCGUCAAUACUGGUCUUGAUCUUUUUAAGAGAGGACGGGACAGGGCUUUAUCUUCCAACAAGUGAUAUAGAUAUCAGAGAUGGUUUGAAGAAUGAUGAAGACAACUCAGACGCUUAAGGUUUUGUAUCUAUCAUCAACACAGUUCAUAAGUGAAGUGUGAGAUUUUGGUUUUGUUUGUUGUUGUUUCUCUAUAUGGAUUUGAUGAAACAUGGUAUAUGCAAUAAUUUCAUAUUGUACUUUAAUUUAUUUAUUUAAAAAAAAAAAAUCAAAUUUAGAGA